UGGCUUAGAUUCGAACUUAUGGGGUCACACACAUUAGAAGAUUUGGACAAAUUUGAUGGCUAAUUAGAUUGUGACUUUGGUGAAGAGUCCCAAUGGGAUUGGGACUCCGGAGGAGAGUCCCACUGGACUGAAACUCUACUAUUAAUAAAAAAUUAAUUAGCAAUUAGAUUGCUAAUUGACUCAAUUUGAUUAAGCAAAGAGCUUUAGAUCAAGUCUAAUUGAAUUAGAUUUAGUUUGAC
rnacentral:lncRNA from 1 species